GUGAGUAACACGUAGACAAUCUGCCCUUGAAUGGAAAGAUAACCCGGCGAAAGUCGAGCUAAUAUUCCAUAUAAUCUCGGAGAGGCAUCUCCCUGGGAUGAAAGCAGCAAUGCGUUCAAAGGAGGAGUCUGCGGCCUAUCAGCUAGUUGGCGGGGUAAUGGCCCACCAAGGCUUUGACGGGUAGCCGAUCUAAAAGGAUGACCGGCCACAAGGGCACUGAGACACGGGCCCUACUCCUACGGGAGGCAGCAGUGGGGAAUUUUGGACAAUGGGGGAAACCCUGAUCCAGCGACGCCGCGUGGAGGACGAAGGUCUUCGGAUUGUAAACUCCUUUUGCGGGGGACGAAAAAAAUGACGGUACCCCGCGAAUAAGCCACGGCUAACUACGUGCCAGCAGCCGCGGUAAUACGUAGGUGGCGAGCGUUACUCGGAAUUACUAGGCGUAAAGCGCGUGUAGGCGGGAGCCUAAGUCUGUCGUUAAAUUUCGCAGCUCAACUGCGAACUGCCGGCGGAAACUGGGCUUCUUGAGUGGGGUAGAGGAAACUGGAAUUCCAGGUGUAGCGGUAAAAUGCGUAGAUAUCUGGAAGAACGCCCAAGGCGAAGGCAGGUUUCUGGGCCUUUACUGACGCUGAGACGCGAAAGCUAGGGGAGCAAACAGGAUUAGAUACCCU
rnacentral:rRNA from 1 species